rnacentral:rRNA from 1 species
CCUACGGGAGGCAGCAGUGGGGAAUAUUGCACAAUGGGGGGAACCCUGAUGCAGCGACGCCGCGUGAGCGAAGAAGUAUCUCGGUAUGUAAAGCUCUAUCAGCAGGGAAGAAAAAUGACGGUACCUGACUAAGAAGCCCCGGCUAACUACGUGCCAGCAGCCGCGGUAAUACGUAGGGGGCAAGCGUUAUCCGGAUUUACUGGGUGUAAAGGGAGCGCAGGCGGCGCGGCAAGUCUGAUGUGAAAGCCCGGGGCUCAACCCCGGGACUGCAUUGGAAACUGUCGCGCUCGAGUGUCGGAGAGGUAAGUGGAAUUCCUAGUGUAGCGGUGAAAUGCGUAGAUAUUAGGAGGAACACCAGUGGCGAAGGCGGCUUACUGGACGACAACUGACGCUGAGGCUCGAAAGCGUGGGGAGCAAACAGGAUUAGAUACCCCGGU